rnacentral:rRNA from 1 species
GCAAGUCGGACGGUAACAGGCGAGUGCUUGCACUUGCGCUGACGAGUGGCGGACGGGUGAGUAAUGCAUAGGAAUCUGUCCUUUCGAGGGGGAUAGCUGUGGGAAACGAGAGGUAAUACCGCAUACAACCUACGGGUUAAAGGUGGCGCAAGCUGUCGCGAAAGGAUGAGCCUAUGUUAGAUUAGCUAGUUGGUGAGGUAAAAGCUCACCAUGGCUACGAUCUAUAGCUGUUCUGAGAGGAAGAUC